AGUGAACGCUGGCGGUAGGCCUAACACAUGCAAGUCGAACGGCAGCACAGUAAGAGCUUGCUCUUACGGGUGGCGAGUGGCGGACGGGUGAGGAAUACAUCGGAAUCUACUUUUUCGUGGGGGAUAACGUAGGGAAACUUACUCUAAUACCGCAUACGACCUACGGGUGAAAGCAGGGGAUCUUCUGACCUUGCGCGAUUGAAUGAGCCGAUGUCGGAUUAGCUAGUUGGCGGGGUAAAGGCCCACCCAGGCGACGAUCCGUAGCUGGUCUGAGAGGAUGAUAAGCCACAUUGGAACGGAGACACGGUCAAGACUCCUAAGGGAGGCAGCAGUGGGGAAUAUUGGACAAUGGGCGCAAGCCUGAUCCAGCCAGACCGCGUGGGUGAAGAAGGCCUUCGGGUUGUAAAGCCCUUUUGUUGGGAAAGAAAAGCAGCAGGUUAAUACCCAGCUGUUCUGACGGUACCCAAAGAAUAAGCACCGGCUAACUUCGUG
rnacentral:rRNA from 1 species